GUAGGUGGCAAGCGUUGUCCGGAAUUAUUGGGCGUAAGGCGCGCGCAGGCGGUUCUUUAAGUCUGAUGUGAAAGCCCACGGCUCAACCGUGGAGGGUCAUUGGAAACUGGAGAACUUGAGUACAGAAGAGGAAAGCGGAAUUCCACGUGUAGCGGUGAAAUGCGUAGAGAUGUGGAGGAACACCAGUGGCGAAGGCGGCUUUCUGGUCUGUAACUGACGCUGAGGCGCGAAAGCGUGGGGAGCAAACAGGGAUUAGAUACCCUGGUAGUCCACGCCGUAAACGAUGAGUGCUAAGUGUUAGGGGGGUUUCCGCCCCCGUUAGUGCUGCAGCUAACGCAUUAAGCACUCCGCUGGGGAGUACGCGCAAGGCUG
rnacentral:rRNA from 1 species